CGGAGUGAUAUUACUGGAGGGGACACACCCGUUCCCAUUCCGAAUACGGAAGUUAAGCCCUCCAAGGCCGAUGGUACUAUGCUGGCAACGGCAUGGGAGAGUAGGUAGUUGCUCCGG
rnacentral:rRNA from 1 species